UACGUAGGGCGCAAGCGUUGUCCGGAAUUAUUGGGCGUAAAGAGCUCGUAGGCGGUUUGUCGCGUCUGCUGUGAAAACCUAAGGCUCAACCUUGGGCUUGCAGUGGGUACGGGCAGACUAGAGUGCGGUAGGGGUGACUGGAAUUCCUGGUGUAGCGGUGGAAUGCGCAGAUAUCAGGAGGAACGCCGAUGGCGAAGGCAGGUCACUGGGCCGCAACUGACGCUGAGGAGCGAAAGCAUGGGGAGCGAACAGG
rnacentral:rRNA from 1 species